rnacentral:rRNA from 1 species
UACGGGGGGGGGCAAGCGUUGUUCGGAAUUACUGGGCGUAAAGGGCUCGUAGGUGGCCAACUAAGUCAGACGUGAAAUCCCUCGGCUUAACCGGGGAACUGCGUCUGAUACUGGAUGGCUUGAGAUUGGGAGAGGGACGCGGAAUUCCAGGUGUAGCGGUGAAAUGCGUAGAUAUCUGGAGGAACACCGGUGGCGAAGGCGGCAUCCUGGACCGGCAUUGACGCUGAGGCGCGAAAGCCAGGGGAGCAAACGGG